AACGACUCUCGGCAACUGAUAUCUCGGCUCUUUCAUCGAUGAAGAACGUAGCGAAAUGCGAUACUUGGUGUGAAUUGCAGGAUCCAGCGAACCAUCGAGUUUUUGAACGCAAGUUGCGCCCGGAGCCUUCUGGCUGAGGGCACGUCUGCCUGGGCGUC
rnacentral:rRNA from 1 species